UCCCUCUCCCUCUCCCUCUCCCUCUCCCUCUCCCUCUCCCUCUCCCUCUCCCUCUCCCUCUCUCUUUCCCUUCCUUGUUUUUUUCCCCCUCUUCAUUCCUUUCCCUUUUUCUUUCAAACCAGCCAACAAAACUGCCUAACAGAUUUUAAUUUUUUUAGUUCUGUUCUGAGAUAAACUUUCUACACAAGAUAGUACCAAUCAGAAGCCCAGUAGCCCAGUGCUCUUGAGCGGCUCACAAACCACCUCUGCAGUAUCAGUGCUACUUGAUCUGACUGCAUCGGUAGCAGAGUGUCCAGUUUCACCGGCUUGACAAUGGUGGCAGGAGAAGGAGUGAAAAUUGACAGCAAGUUGACAGAAUGCUAUUGGGACUAUUCCUCUAGGGUCCAUCUCAGAGUAAUUUUAUCCCUAUGCCACUGAACAAACUCACGAAAAAUCCAACAAGUAUGCCACCAGAGUAGCUGUCAUAGGGAACUGAUUUAACAGCAGUGUGUGUUUUUAGGUGUUUGUUAUGAUCGAAGUUUUCUUUUCAGCCCUGGGGUUAUCCUUAUAUACAGAUGGAGACAUAAAAGAAGAUGGGUGAAAACAAAAUCAGAUGGAAAGAGGAAAAUAUUUAUUUCCUUCAUGUAUUUGCAUUGUGCUGAGUGCAGCAGGGUGCUAAGAUGGACUCCUCAGAUGCUAUCACUGUAACUGCAAUAUCAUGUAGCUCUAUGUCCCAUCAAGCUCCUCUGCCAAACUCUAUAAUGUGAUCACUUAGUUGGCUGUGUACAAUCUAUACAAUUUAAAAGGAAAAUGAUUUUUCUUUUAGAUACUGAGCUAAUUUUGUGUUCCUGUUGGUAUUCAAAAUUCAUUGCAAUGAGGAGUCGUUUUAUUGUUGUGGCUCCUUUGUUGUGUUUUGGCUUCUGCUGUCUUAAUAAAAACAAUGAAACAAAUGGUUCUGAGAACAGCAGAGCUAAUGAAGUCAUGUUUUGAGGACUUGCAUUUGACAGUUUUAUAUCCCUUCCUUUGUCCCAUUACAGCAGCUUUGACCAUUUAAACUGAGGUUUAUGCCCAACUCCAUUAGACUUGCCCCUCUCCAGUCUGCACAGAUGCCUUUCAAGCCUGCAGGUAUCAGCUGUGCAGAGGACAUUAUGCGCUCUCCGUGGCUCAGAGCUGCUUUUGCACUGACAUGCCAGCAGAAUACUUGCUGACUGGGUAGCAAGAGGUCAAUCAAAAAAGGUAACUGCUGAGCUGUCACUGAUGUUUUAUUCCUAGUGGGACAGCAAUCUGGCUCUGUGUCCUGUCUCUAGACAUCAAUUUAAAUGAAACUUGUGAGACUUCUCUUUAAGGCUUUGACCUCAUUCUUAUCUUUUUCUGAAUUUGGCCAGGGGUUUUGGAGGUUAUGAGCAUUACAAGGACAGACAGACAAUAUAUCUCAGGUAGAUCAAUAAUACAAUAUUUAUAAGGGCUAAUUUAAAAUAAAAAGUUAAAUUUCCAAACCAAAUUGUCUCUCAUAAACAAAAUAGCUGUAACAUUAUUGUGGUUUGUAUUACUAAUUCCUACAAGGACUUUGAAUAUUUCACUAGGAAAGAUUUUUGAUAAAAUAUGAGUGAGAGAAAAACACAUUAUUUAAAGGCAUCAUAACAAAAUAUGCUAGUUAGGAGUCCAUCUAGGCUGAGAAAAGAACAUUUGAAUUAUGGCAUUGACACUGAAAUGCUUUUUUUGUUUUGAAUUUUCAUCUGGCUCAGAACUUUGCACUCUUGUUGUGUGAUUUUGACUAUCUGUUAGAGCAUUCAAGCUGAAUCAUAAAUAGCAGUAUCGAAAACAUAUGCCACAGGGGAAAGAAAUAUGUAAUAAAACCAGCUGUCAUUAUAUGAUAAUGAAUUUCACUCACUACUGAGUUGGAUAAGUGUUUUUCAUAGGGAAACAAGUGGCAAAUUCAGCAAAGAAAAAUGUGUGUAAAACUUUCAUGUUUUUAAGCCAGCCCUAGAAGGUCUAAUUCACUUUUAUCAGUGGGAAAAAUAAUAUGGGACUAAUUUUGAAGCUGAAAACAUCUAGUUUAUUAAAUUGUGAGUAAGAGAAACAUGGUAAUGGUUUUCACAUAUGUAGGAGAGAAAUAGUUUUAAAGCACUAGUUUUAGGGUACAUAGUCAUGAGAAAGAAGAAAUAAAUCACGCAAAAAAAUAAAUCAAGUGUUUAAACACUCCUAAAAGUUAGAAUUUAUUAGACAGAGAAGUAACUUGAAAAAUGUCAGUAAAGAUUUCAUUAUCUUGGAGAACUGGAAAAGUUUGGCUGCAUUAUCAAAUUUAUGUAAUGAGAAAUAUUCUAACUUUAGAGUGGGAAACUUAGAUUGCGUCAUUGUUCAUUCACGGUUUUAAUUUCUAUUAUUCUAUGACUGAAUCUCAUGUUGAGGUGCCUUUCCUCUCCUGGAGCUAGCUAGCAGAUAAAAUAAGCAUGCAUAUAAUAGCAAAUAAGCGGUCAGGUUAGCUUUUGCAUAGAAUGGCCGCAGAGUAUUUUUGCUAUUAGGACAACGGUCUGUAAAUUUCUUUCAAAUUCUCUAUUUAAAGUAGGUUGAACUCCAGCUGGUGACUAUUAUGUUCUGAAAUGGUGUUAUUAUCUCCAAGGGAAUACUGCAAGAACACAACUACUUCAGGAAUCUCUCCUCAAGGACAAAGUUCAUACACAUGCUCCCUCCCACCUACACACCCACCCACCUUGUAUAUGUAUAGAUAUCUCCUUUAAUGAAGAAUUGUAAUUAUAGAUCAUAUUUUAGCAUAGCUGAAAGCAAAUAAUUUCUCUUUGGAAAGAUAUGGGCUCAGUUGCAGGAUGUAGGAACAAAUUCAGUGAGAAUAAAGCUGCAGAUUUCUAAAUGUGCAAUAUAUUAAAUAAAUCCACAUGACUAAACUUCCACAUGACUAAAAUCACUUGAUUCAGAGAUGUUUUCAAGAUACAUGAAAAAGAGUGUCAGCUCAUAACGGGAAGAACAAAAUUUUUGAAUCAGAUGUAGUGUAACGCAGUAAGUGAGUAAGCUUGUAAGGUCUUACUGAGCUUGUAAAAGCAAAAUAACAUAUUUGCAUUGUCAGAGAAUUCACUGGAAAAUACGGUCAUGUAAACAGAUAGGGUGCAAAUAUUGCUUUCCUCUGGGAUUAUGACCUGAAGGUUGCUUGGCAUAAUGUCAUAUGAGUAGUUGUGGAAAAUCUUCCAGUUUCAUUUCUGUCAUUUGGAUUUGUCACUGUCUUAGAGGGCACAAAGUUUCAUGGGUGCUUUUUAGAAAUUUUCUGAAAUCCACCAAUAAGAUUUUUUUUGUUAUUGUGUUUUGGCCUCUGGCAUUUAAGGCACUAAGGAAAACUAGUAGGUUUGAUCAGGCACAGGCCACUUGCUGUAUUGUGCAUAGAGUCUAUUGGUCCUGAAAGACCCAGCUGGGCUGCUGUGAAGGGAGGGUAAAAUCUUUUCCUUUCAAGUGUGCUAGGCUGCUGCACUGGGAGUUUUGGGAGACACACCCAGGUCUUGCUAUAUAGUGCCUAGCUCAAGUGGAAAGACCUUUUAUGGAGACAAAGCUCCAGCUCUUUUCCGACAGACCCCUGCCAAUCAGUCACAGCGCAGACUGUUAGUAUAAGCAGCGCUCAAUGGUGUUCAUCUAAUGUAUAGCUCUUCCAGAAGACACUUGCCAUAAUUUACAGCAACCCCAAGGUACCAUUAACUUCUGCUGAAACACAGGAUUCUGCCAAACUGGAAAAACAGAGAUUCUCAGGUCUCUGUAUGCAGUUUGGAGAGCUGUUCCUUAUUGAAUGUUUUGUUUUUCCAGCUCAAAUGAGGGUAAAUCAACAUUUUCAAAUAACACAUGUAUGUGCCAGUUUUAUUAGAAUUUGUCUCUCUUACAUUUUUACAGUGGCCCAUGAAAAUCAAAUCAAGAUAAUAGCAGAAAUAAUUGACCAAAGAAUAGCAGUUUCUUUAAUCAAGCGAACAUGAUGAUUAAAUCAAAAGCUUCAGAUCUGUGGAUAUCAUCAAUGGUCUUUUGACUAUUAAUAACAAUAUGCUAUCAGCGAAUUUUAAAAAUGCAUUUUUGGAGGGUGAAAUGUCUACAUCUAGAUGGAGAAAGGUCAGAACAGUAUUAUUAGUAAUUAAAUCCAUUAGUGGUACUGUUGACAGUUUUUCAAGUGAUUUAGAUUAAAAUAUAUCACUGAAGUACAGCAAUACUUAAACAAGAAAAGAUCCUACAAUUGAAAUGAUCCUACAAUGAAAAAAUCCUAAAAAAGUAUGCUUUCCCUGGAGUCUUUAAUCCUUAAUAAGAUCUAAAUGGUACUUUUUAAUAAUUAAUAUUAAUACUACUACUACAACAGCAACAACAACAACAGUAGAAACCAGAACAACAAAAUAUCACUAAAGAGAGGCUUGCUUUCCUUCAGAAACCUUGGCAGAAAUAUACAACAGCACUGAAGCCUCAGAGACACCAUUGCUUCUUUUUGUUGUGCUGUAGCCACAGGGAGGGUGAGCCUUCAAUUCCUUUUGUGCACAACAAAGCUCUUCAGCACAAGAACACAUUCAGGCCUGUAGGGAUUUACCAGCUUAGGGAAGCAACAGCAAGCAUAUGCUGGCUGUUACCACAGGCUGUGACAGUGUGGAGCUUUCCAGAACCAAGGUGUACUCGUGCACCAAACACCAUCGCUUGCAUAGUGCAGAUAUAUUUGCAUAUAUUAGUCCACUAAUAGUGAAAGACUACCUGUAUAUCCAUAAAGAUGCAUGAGAAGGUAUGAUUCUUCUGUUUCCCGAGCCUGCAGGAAGGGAGAUUACAAUUUCCUAUGGCAAUAUUUAGUGGCAUCAGCUCAGAAAUACUUCCUUUUCUUUUUCCUCUUCUUUCAGCCACUGAGUUACAGUUUCCAAGGGAAAAGUUUUUUAUAGACAGUGAUGUUUUACUGUUUUUUCUGUCCUGUGUAUUGGCCAACAAAUAUCCUAUAAAAAAAUAGAUUUUCUAACUAAUCAUAGCAUCAAAAUGAUCACAAGGAAAACCAAUGAGGUGUUUAUGCACCUCACUUCUUACAGUGUUUUACUACUGAAUGCAGCUAUUAAUUUGGUGUUCCUCAGAUUGUCUUAUUAAAAUAGAUACUGUGAAUUAAUUUAUUAACUCAGUGUACAUUUCAUGACAACUCUGUAGAAAGCUGGGCAUAAAGCUGUUUGGUAUCGUAUAGGCAUAAACUUCUUUUUGAUAGACAGUACACACUCUUCAACACCAGAGACACUUCUAUUGCCCAGCUUUGGAAGGUCAGCAGGGUCAGUAUGAGCAUCUGAACAACAGCCUUCCCUAUGUCAGCUGUGCAAUCACCGAGACUGGAAAACAAAGAUGGUCCAGGCACCGUGGCCUGGGCAUGGUCACCUUCUUGGACAGAAAUAGUUUGGCUACUACCCAUGUAAAUCAUAUGCAGUGGGAUGGAGCUCGAGAGUGAAGAGAUUAUGGCUGGCUGCAGAAGGUCCUGGAAGUUUGUUAACUGAACACAAUCUACCACCCAGGUCUUUGGAGCUCUUACUCACAAAUAGGCAGAGGUGAGCAAUUUUAUGUUAUAAACAAUGCACAAAUAAGGCAUGUAUAAUGUAUUGAAUUAAUAAAUGUCAAAUCUUUGUACUUGCAUUUUUUAUUUUAAGUCCUUUAAACACAACUGCAGUGUUUUAAAAAUUAUUUUUCAAUUAUUUUAGCCCUUUCUAUUAGAAUUUGUCAUUUUCAUUUCAGAAGUGCUCGUGUACUUUCAAACUUUUUUCCUGUUCUGAACACCUUUGUUGUAUCUAUUUCGCUACCUUUUAUAGAAUCAUUUCCUCUAAUAUCAACAGCUUUUAUAUACUAUACUACUUGCUGACUGCAGCUCAUUUGUUGAAAUUUCCAGUAUAUCUUCUAGAAUAUACAGAUAAAUUUAACCUUUUUUUUUUUUUUUUUAAUGUGAAGGGAUGCUAGCUUAUCACAAAUUGUCAUAAAUUCAAAAGUACAAUGUGCUGUAGUGGGAAAGUUGAAAGUAUCCAAUAUGUACUCUUCUUUCAUCUUUGUGAUCAUCUCUAUUUAGUUCUAUUAGCACUUUCUCAGAACAAAAAGUAGUUCAUUUAGAAAUGAUUGGAUCAUUUGUUUUGUCCUCAAUGAAAUGAUAUUCAUUCACCCAUUGAUAGUUCCUUGUUUCCCAUCCAGAGCUACCCAAGAAAUAACUUUUUCUACUUAGAAAACUCCCUGAAACUCUCAGAAUAAUGUGAAAUAAACAAGUGCAAUUAAAUAUUUCUCAAUGCAAAAUAUUACACAUUUUUGUUAUCAGAAUUUUUAAAAAGGGGAAGAAAGGAACAAUUAAGAAAUUGUCAGAUGAUUAAAUUACUACAGCCACUUCCUUGGGAAAAAGAUAUGCUUUUUCAGGUUGUAGCUCUACCCAAGAGUGUCUAAUAUAGACCAAUAAUUUUGACAUAUUUUAUUUUGAGGCAUAUUUUUGCUCUCUUAAUUCAUUUGCCAGAGUUUUAUUUUUUAGAACAGGAAAAUUAACUCUGCAGAUAAAGAAGACUUCUUCCAACCUCUGGAAGAAAAUAGAACAGCUAUUUUUUCAAAUUGAAAAAAAAAUUUAAAAAUUAACUUUUGUAAAAAUUAGAAGGGGGUAGUGUGUCUUGGUAUUCUGUAGGUGAAAGAAUAGCUACAGUUGAAGUUUGCUGAAUUGUGGUUUAGAGAUAGAUCAUUUUCCCUCCAGCUCUCUCUGAUGCUUCUCGGUGAGGAAACCAACUCCCUGUCCAAAGCUGGUUUUCCUAUUCUUUACAAUGUCAUGGUCUAAGUGGUGAUUUCUAUUUUUGGAAAUAUGAAAUAUUUUGUGCAAUGUGAGGACUUCAGGUGCAAUGGAAUUCAGAAUGAAUGGCAUAUUAUUUGACACUCACAGGAAAGAUGUAUAUAGCAAUACCAGCUGGAUUGCUAUUUUGUUCUGUUUUCCCACAUUUUGAACACCUAGAAUUUUUCUGCCUGAGAUUUUUCAGAUGUAGUCAUUCCUAGCCUUUUUGGAGUCUGAAACUAGCUUCAGAAUUCUGUCAUAGCUGUAUCCCCUGCUUAAAACUAUAUUUCUAUUGGAUUAGACUCCUUUGAAAAGCUUUUGUAGUUCUUACUAUUUUCCAGUGGGAAAUAUUGGAAGAUUCAGUUUCUUUGUUAUUCAGCAGUAUUUUUAUUCUUCAGCACCUGGCUUUUAGUUUUCUAUUCCAGCAUUUUCAGACCUUUACUAUAUCUACCCAUGGCUCCCUUGCGGUUUGGCUUUCAUUGAUUUUGACAUAAUUCUGCUUAUUCUGUGAGUAUCUUGGUGUGUAGGCUCACUACUGCUGAGGAUAGGAAAUAUUUCUCAAAAAGAAGGAUGGCAAAAGAUGAGUCUACAUGUACCUGGCCAAUUAAAAGCUGGUCCUAAGACAGCUGUGUAAGGAUUAUACUUCCUACUUUUACUCUGAAAUUGCAUCAGUUUCCCAGAACUUUAAUAAAACUGCUUUGUGCCUUAGUUGUCUGGAGUUUUUUACAAUCCUAUGAGGAGUUUGCCUAAACUUAUGAUGUUCCCAGUAGCUGCUGGAUGUCACAUUUCCCAUUGCCUGCCUAUUUGCAUCUUGCUAGAAGAGCAAUACUGGUGUAUCUCAUCUAAGAGAAAGUCUCUUUAGCAUAGGCACAAUAAGGGAGCAUGGAUGUGACUAUCUGACCCCACAGACACCCCAUGUAUUGGUUUUGCACAGUCUGGCUUUUUGGCAGCAGUGGGGGCCACAGUGGUGGCUUCUGUGAGAAGCUGCCAGAAGCUUCCACCAUGUCCAGGAGAGCCAAUCCCUUAUGGCUCUGACGACGGACACGCCGCUGGCCAAGGCUGGCCAAUCAGAGAUGAUGGCAACACCUCUGUGAUAACACAGGUAAGAAAUCAUAACAAACACUGCACAGGGAAGAGCAGGAGUGAGAAUAUAGAAACAGAACAACAUGCAGACACCAAGGUCAGUGCAGAAGGAGAGGCAAGAGGUGCUCUCAGUGCCAGAGCCGAGAUUCCUCAGCAGGCCAUGGUGAUGAACAUGAUGAAGCAGCUGUGCCCCUGUAGCCCAUGGAGGUCCACGGUGAUGCAGAGAUCAACCUGAAGCCUGUGGAAGAGGAGCUCCAUGCUGGAGUGGGUGGAUGCUUGAGAGGAGGAUGUUGAGAGGAGGAUGUUAUCCCAUAAGAGAUCUGUGGAGAGAAGGACCCUGCUUCCAAGCUGGAUCAGCCAGUCCUUGGAGAGCUGCACUCCAUGGAGGAGUGACCCAUGCUGCGGCAGUUUUGGGAGGAUUAUUCCCCAUGGGAUGGACUCACGAUGCAGCAGUUCACCGGGAGCUGUUGCUCAUGAGAUGGACACAUGCUGGAGAAGUUCAUGGAAGACUGUCUCCUGUGGGAGGGACCCCACAGCGCAGCAGGGGAACGACUCCUCUUCCUGAGCAGGGGGAGAAGCCUUGAGUAAUGAAGUGGCCAUAAACCUCGAGUGAGGAACUGGCCAUAAACCCCAGUCCCUGCCUCCAUGCACUGUUGGGGCAAGAGGUAGAGCUGGGAAGGAGGCGGGGGGAGUGAAGGUGUUUUUUUAAGGGCUUAUUUUGUUUCUAAUUAUCCUGCUAUAAUUUCUUUAGUAAUAAGUUUUUAUCUCUCAGUCAAGCUUGUUUUGCCCUUGACAGUAUUUACUGAGUGAUCUCUCACGGUCCUUACCUCAGCUCGUGAGCCCUUUGCUAAAUUUUGUCUCCUCUGCCCAGCUGCAGAGGGGAGUGGGUAAGUGGCUCUCGUGGGUGCCUGGCAUUUAGCCAGCAUCAACCCACAACACCCCAGUAGGAAUAUUCUCCUGGUGGUAUGUUUUGCAGCAUAAUUUAUGUCAGUUAUGCCUCAUACAGAUGACUGCCUCCAAAUCAGAAAGAGUGAAAUAUUCAAAGGUGGUUUAAACUUUUUAUUUCUCAUAAACAUUAAUCUGCCUGUGGCCUUGGAGUGCUCUGGUUACAUUUUGGCCAGGUAGCAGGGUCUGUAUUCAAGGGAAACAGAGCAAAUCUGUGGAGAACUGGAUACACUUUUGAAACUCUUUUUCACUGUAGAUGAGAUUGUUAUACAGGAAUGAGUAAUUUUUAGCUAAGCGUAUUAGGUCUCCCAAGUGAUUUGCAUGUAUAAUCAAAUGAAAAGGCCUGUGAAAUAUUGAAAUUCUAGAUGAGAAAAGUGAAAUUCUAUUAAGAAAGAAAGAACCUCUGCACUUAUAGCACAUUCAGAGAACAUAUCAGAAUAUAAAUUUAAUGCAAUACAGCAAUGCUCAUCUUACUUUAAAGGUAAUUAUAUAGAAAAAGGGGCAUUUAAAAUGUAUAAGGAGAGGCUUUUUUUGCACUCGUACAGCAUAUAAUUAACAAAGUUCUUUAAACCUAUUCAUAAAAGAAAGUAAUAAAGCACUUGUAAAUAAUGGCAGUCUCAUAUUCUUUACAGUUAAAUAUCAAUAAUCAGAAUGUCUUUUUUAUACCUCGUUGUAAAACUACAUUUUUGACAUAUUAAGUAGAAGCAGGUAUUACUAGUGACAUUUCAAUUUUCUAGAGAUUUAGACAUAUUCAUAUAAAACGGUUACAAAAUGAAGAACUAUAGCUAUAGAAAGCUGGAAUGCUUGCAAAUUAAAUCAAUGCUCUGCCUGCAAAACACAAAGCGAUAACAGAAAAGUGAAGUUGCAGAACAUUUCAUGGCAGAAUUAAAAGGUGUAGGUGUUGAGACCUUAAAAUACUAAACCGUAGGUGCAGAAAAAGAGAACAAGAGAACUAUAAAGGAAAGUACCAAAGCUUGUAGUAUUGUACAGAUCAAUUAAUAAUGAUUUGUUUUGUAGCAAUUUCUGAAUUCUCAGAAGAUAUACCUUUGAAAAACAAAUCCAGAUUUCUCCAAUGCUCAUGUGUUACACAAUGUUUUAGACACAAACACUUCUCAGAAAUAAGGGGACGGGGAAAAUACAGAGAGGUUAAAAACAUAAGAAGAAAAAAUAAUAAUGCAAACCAGAUUAGAUAAUGAGUGAUUGUGGGUUGAUUUUAUUUCUCUUUUGUUCUUCCUCACCUCAGUCUUUAAGAGCCUUUAUUGCAGAACAGAUCGCUGUUCUGGCACAUGCCAUCUUGAACAGCACGAAUGCAGGCUGCUCCCAAUAGAUUAUUCUCUCGUUGACCUUGUAGGGGUGUACAGCUGGCUACAAUAAAAGCCCUAAUGCAGCAAUAAAGACUGGACUAAGUUGAAUAUUACAGGCAUGGAAUAAACUCAGAUGAAAUUAGUUAGGGUAAAAUUUUUCUCCUCUGAUCUGACUGCACUUAAAUUUCAAUGUUUAGGAAUAUCUCAGAUUUUUUCCAUGUUUACUGCUGUCCAUGGCAAGACAGGGUACUUUGCCAGUUUGUAGCAAGAAGUGAGAAAAAAAAAUCAAUACUUUGCAGAAAUUAAGCUCCAGUUGCCAUUGCUGCAUUUCAGACACUGCACCUUUAGAAUCACAGUUUAUGUUGCACCUCGCCUUGGAUAUUCAGGCUUGUUAGUUUUCCACAAAGUAAGUUGAAUAUCUAAAUUCUUAUUAAAAUGUCGUGGUUUAAUUCCAGGUGUCAACCAAGCCCUAGGGAACUCUUGCUCACCCCAACACCAGUGGAAUGGGGGAGGGAAUAGGAAAAGUGAGAAAACUUGUGGGUUGAGAUAAAGAUGGUUUUACAGGUAAAGUAAAAGCUGUACAUGCGAGCGAAACAAAAUGAGGAAGUAAGUCACUGCUUUGCAAAUGCAGACAGGUGUUCAGCCAUCCCCAGGAAAGCAGGGCUUUCUCAUGUGUAACUGUUAUCUGGGAACUGAAUGUCUCCCCCUUUCUUCUUCUCCCCUCAGCUUUGUAUGCUCAGCAUGAUGUCCUAUGGCAUGGGCUCUCCCUGUGGCCAGCUGGAGUCAGCUGUGGCCAGUCAGUCUGGCUGUGCCUCCUCUCAAUGUCUUGAGCACCCCCAGCCUGCUUACUGGCAGGGUGGAAUGAGAAGUAGAAAAGGCCUUGGCUCUGCGUAAGUGCCCCUCAGCUGUAGCAAAAACAUCUCUAUAUUAUCAACCCCGUGUUCAGCAUAAAUCCAAAAAUCCCCACAGCAGUGCACCAGCCACUGAGAUGAAAAUGAUCUGUGUUCCAUUCAAAACCAGGACUUAGAAUGAUUAAAAAUAUUUUAAAACAUAAUCGCGAUUUUAUAUUAAAAAUAUAAAUGUUUUGCCUGCAUGAACUAGAUAUUCAGUGUCAAAGAAUAUAUUACCAUAUUUUCCAAAGGCAUUGUUUUCUGUUAAAAAGACUACAAUUUCUUCCUCAUAUUUUUAGCUAAAAGAUAAUUAUAUCUGAACAGUCUUCAAUAUUUAAGACACUGUAUAUAUAGAAACAAGAUAUUGAACAGAUAGAUAAAUCUAGAUCUACAUAUAAAUCUAGCUAUCUCUCUGUACCUAUAUACAUACACACAUGUGUAUUAAUACUUUUCAGGGUAUAUUAAAACAAAGUAAUUCAAAUAAGUAAACAAAAAUGUUGCUAUCCAGAUUUAUUUUAUGACAAAAUAAGCUCUGGUUCUAAUAUGAGUGUUAACAAGCACUUUUGAAAGGCAAAAGACAAAUUCCCUUCACUCUUCCAAAUUUUCAGAGGUGGACCAGAGAUAGGUUAGAUCAGAAUCUGUCUUCCAGAUACUCCUGUCUGUCUUUCUUGACCAUGGAGGAAGACUAGAGUAAGUGUAGCAGCUAUGUCCAAAUUGUGGGUGGGCACUAUGAGAUGCCCCAAGGUCUUGGUUUUAUACAGACUAGUGGCCUGGCUGGAUGUCACUGUGUUUCCCUGCUGCAUGCUCACUUUUCCUUGCCAGGCAAAUCCAGGGGCGAGGCAAAUGUUGGUGAAACCUUGGGGGCCUCCCUGCAACACACAAUGUUGGUGCGACCAUGCCCGACAGUCUAGACAUUUCCCAAAUUACUCUGAGGAUCUCCACACAGAGACUUAAAAUUAGAUGGAAUCAAUCCAUCUAUAGUCUUUAAUCUUUAGUCUUUUAAUACAGAAAUUAAAGUAAUAUUUGCUCUUAUGCUGAGUUUGUAUGGGGUUCUUAGUGUUCUUUCCUGUAUGAACCUCAAGAUGAUUUUCCUUAUUGAAGAUAUCCAUCCUAAGAUGAGAGAUAUAACUGUCCGCUGCCUGUAUGUGGUUCAAACUCACAAUAUUGCUCCUUCAGAUCACCCAGUGUGCCAUUGCCUAUGCUGAGAAGGGCGGAAAAUAAGCGGUAAGUCAGUAACUGUGGACUGGCAAGAAGUUUAAAGAUACAUUUUACUGAGGUUUUGGAACUUAAACUUCUGGAUCAAUGUGGAAUCAGCACUAGCAAAUCCUUCCCUGUGGCAAAAUCUGCUGGUACAUCUGAUUCCUCUUUUUUCUUCAUUUUCUCGCUAGAAUGAAGAAAACUGAAACAAAUGAACAAAUUUAAUUUUGAUGCCAAAGUAGCAUCCCUGCAAUGUGGGGAGGAUCAGAAAAAGCAGAAAUCUGGGCUAUAGUGAAGAGAUUCAGUCUUCUCUAACACUCAGCUUGAUCAGACUUUUGAGCUGAGCUUCCCCUGUACUUGCUAAUGAUGAAAAACUAAGUCAAUAGAAGCCAUCUGACUGAAGUGUAACUGCUACAUGAAUACAAAAAACCAUGGAAAGGGAAGUCUUUCAACAUAAAAGUAAAAGCAUACCUGUGUGGUGAAGUUGUUCUUAUUUUUUUGUCACGUUUUUUUUAUACAGCUAUGAAACAUAUUUGGAAUUGCAGCAAUAAUCAGUGAUUACUCAACAAAGGCGCAUACCUAUCUCAAAGACAUCACUACUACUCUAUCAAUUCAAGCAUGAUUGUUAGAGAUGGGAUUAUUGAACUGGGCACCUGGAAGCUUACCAAAUUCAGGCUAUUUUGAGCUCUGAGUGGGUGGGAGAUAGCAAAUGAAGAUUGGAUUAUCACGCUUGAUGGAUUAUUGUGAUGAAGGCAGAAUGGUAUUAAACUGACAUCCUGCCCCUACUGCCAGAAUGUCUUGUUAUGGCUUCAAAGGCUGGAUUCACACAGCAGAAGGCACUGUCUGCUUUACUCACUUGCACACUAGUAAGGGCUCUUAUACAGCCUGUGGGAAACCUGGGCUCAAAUUCCUCUUCUGCUGUUGGAAGAAAUGCCUCCCAUACUGAUGGAAAGAUCCAGGGGCGAUUGCAAAAACAAUAUAUCUGAUCUAUUGAGAUCAGAAACCCGAUUUGAACAUGAGGGCUGCAACUUCAUUUGUAACCAAAGCAUGUUAUUUGCAGAGCAGAGCUUCUUUACACUUCUUUCUGCCAGCUUCCAGAUGAUCAUGAGCCACAGAACAGUCACCCAGAAACCUGUCACCACUGGAAUGGUGCACCAGAAUGGAGAAUAUGGUGUUGGACUGCAAACCCUCUACAACAGGCUGCGGAAGAGGCUGAGUCAGCCCCUUGCUCAAAAGGCCAUAAUAGCAUUCAGUUGCUGAUCUGCUUGCCAUGUGUGAUAGCACAUUGCUGCUAAAAUGGCAUAUUGGCCCUAAUCCUGAAAAUCUUUCAGACAUGUAUGCAUUCAGUGAGAUAAAGAACUAUAGAGAGAAGCCUAUGUUUUCUAUAAGAACGUCAUAUUGGUAUAAAAAGGAUAGGUGCAGUGAUCUCAAAUUAUUUUGUGGUACAAAAGUAUGAGCAAGAAUAUAUAAUGUACAUAGAUAUGAUUUAUGCACACACUCACACACACAUACAUAUAUAUAUAUAUAUAUACACACAUAUAUGUAUAUUACAUCUCUGUAACUGAAUGGUAUUACCAUGGGGAUGAUGAGACCCACAAAUAGCAUAGUUAACAAAUUUAACUUGCUAUUUUUGUGUCUUUCAUUUUUGAACUGCCAGGGAGUAGAUUGCUAUAUCCUCAAAUUUGUCUUUGAAAAUCUUCUCAAAAUAACUUCCCUGUGAAACUCAUUUGACAGGGUUACUUACAUGAUCACCUCUUUAUCAAUCCACUGAGAAUGAGAGUUAGUUCUAGACUUUAAACUAGCAAGGCUAGUUCUUUAGCUUAGUCUGUAGCAGUUUAUGCUCUCAACUCUUGAAAUUAUUUAGCACUGAGGACACUGUGCAAAACUCUUAGAACUGUAAGAAUUUUUAUUCUGCAUCCGAAUGAAAGUGUGACAUUAAAUUUCAGACAAUAUAUACUUCACACUGCUUAGUAUACAGCAGCACAUAUGGAGAAAGAUUGGGAACUUGAGACUCCUUGCAGCUCCAUGAGCACACUAACCAUACUGUACUGCUCUUGCAGUCUUUGGUGUCAGUGUGAAUCAGCAAUGCCAGUGAUAGACUUAUACAACUACAAUGUCUGAGCUACAUCAAUAUAAAUGAAUUGCAUAUAGGCAUGUCUGUCUGCUGUGCACAUAUCUAUAUUUUAUAUAUAGCUACAUUUGUAGAUUUAUCAGUGAAAAUAAUUUCAUGUUACCAGUUUAAUAGUGUUUUCCUUCAAUGAAUCCAAUGCAUAAAUACGAAUGGUGUGUUGCAUGGUAUAUCUGGCUGUCAAAACUGUUCAAUGAAAAAGAGGGAAUAUUGAAAGUAGAAACUGACUUGAGAAAUCAUGUUUUUUUUUAGCUCAUUAAUGCCUUAAUACCAGCUGAUGCAGUAUGUACUUUGCAGGCCAUGUUUUCUUUUUUGCAGUUCUGUGGUUUUACAGCUGGUACAUUCCAGGCUGUCUGCCUUCCCAGGCUAAGUCAAGUUUGUCCAUCUUGUGACACCUUGGUGUAUGUACAACACAAUACUUGUUCUCUGGGGAAUUUAACAAAGCUGUUUCUAAGAUAGUAGGUGCUCCUGGUGCUCAGGAGUUAGUAAUUUCAAAUAUGGCCGGUUUAGUUACCAAGAAAAUAUGGUGGGAUGUUGUGAGUAAAUUUUUUUUCCACCAGGCAAACUCUUCAAUGCUUUAUCAAAGCAUCCAGAUCCUUGUGUGUUGCUCUGUUUUAGAAUUUCUUCAAAGACAGACAACCUUUAUUCUACUGACCGAUGUACAAUAUAUAUAGCUAUUGUGCAGAAAAAGAACAGCUCUGGCGAGUCACUAAGUAGGUGUUUGUGCAGGUCAAUAGUAGGCUGGUACCUCAUGAGGAGUGGAAAACCUAUCAGCUUACCAAUGGAGCUGUCAGUUCAGAUAAACAGCUGCCAUUUUUCCCACUUUCCAUCAGGUGGAGGUUUAACAAUGUUUAUUGAAGAUGCCAAAGGUUUGAGAAUACUAAAAGUUUUAAUUCUUUUCCACCAACUAAUAGUGUGGCUUAUGGUGCUGAAGACAAACUUGGAAUCAUGUGCCCUCACCCAGCUGACCUUGUCUGCAUCACUGUUGUUUUAAAUCAAUUGGUUCUGCACCCCCUCUUCUAUCAGAAACUAUAUUUCCUGAAGUAAACCUGGGUUUAGGCCACCCUCUGUAGCAGAAGGGCUGUAAGGGGGAGUAGUGUAAUUACUACAAGCCUCUGUUUUGUCCUGUCACAGUUACAUCCACUGGCAGGAACCUGCGACUUCUGAACUCACAAACUAUGAAGAAACCUGAGAUGACAAAAUCAGCAAAGGCUACACCUUAAAGUGCAGUCAUGUGGUCCAUCAAAACAUGCUUCAAUCCAAUUGAAGUGGCAUUAUUGUGUUACCCUUAUCCUAAAGUAGCUACCUAACAUUCAGGUUGUAACUCUACUUGUUCCAGGCCUUGCUGAUCCAUUUGCAAAAUCAUAGCCACAAAGUGAUUAAUUGUUGCUAAUAAUUCUAAUCUUAGCUACUUAUUUUUGUGCUUUAAAAUAAAAAAAAGCAAAGCUUUUUUCCCUAAGCAGAUAUUUUUAUUAAAUAAAAUUUAGUUUGAAAACUAAAACAGAUGUUGCUUGAUCAAAGUUACAAUCAUCUUUUCUAAUUGACUGUAAUGUGCAUCCCCUUUUCUCUAAUAUAGAAAAGAUAUACACAAAGUUCUGCUCCUGAGGAAGAACAGGCAAAGGAAACCUUUUGACCACACAAGCUGGUGGUUUUCAUAGGUCACUGUUUUAUAACUGAGUAUAUGUUGGCUGCACAUACAUGAAACUAAAGAUCUUGCACUUCCUUGGAGUGGAAAAGAAAAACACAUUCAUAAAAUUAAAACACGGGUAAAAAUAAAUAAAAAACCCA